CAAAGGACGACAUUAGACGAAUCAUCUGGAAAGAUGAAUCAAAGAAGGUAAUAAUCCUGUAGUCGAAAAUGUUGUCUCUCUUGAGUGGAUCCUGAGUACGACGGAGCACGUGAAAUUCCGUCGGAAUCUGGGAGGACCAUCUCCUAAGGCUAAAUACUCUCUAGUGACCGAUAGUGAACCAGUACCGUGAGGGAAAGGUGAAAAGUACCCCGGAAGGGGAGUGAAAUAGAACCUGAAACCGUGUGCUUACAAGUAGUCAGAGCCCGUUAAUGGGUGAUGGCGUGCCUUUUGUAGAAUGAACCGGCGAGUUACGAUUUGAUGCAAGGUUAAGCAGUAAAUGUGGAGCCGUAGCGAAAGCGAGUCUGAAUAGGGCGUUUAGUAUUUGGUCGUAGACCCGAAACCAGGUGAUCUACCCUUGGUCAGGUUGAAGUUCAGGUAACACUGAAUGGAGGACCGAACCGACUUACGUUGAAAAGUGAGCGGAUGAACUGAGGGUAGCGGAGAAAUUCCAAUCGAACCUGGAGAUAGCUGGUUCUCUCCGAAAUAGCUUUAGGGCUAGCCUCAAGUGAUGAUUAUUGGAGGUAGAGCACUGUUUGGACGAGGGGCCCCUCUCGGGUUACCGAAUUCAGACAAACUCCGAAUGCCAAUUAAUUUAACUUGGGAGUCAGAACAUGGGUGAUAAGGUCCGUGUUCGAAAGGGAAACAGCCCAGACCACCAGCUAAGGUCCCAAAAUAUAUGUUAAGUGGAAAAGGAUGUGGCGUUGCCCAGACAACUAGGAUGUUGGCUUAGAAGCAGCCAUCAUUUAAAGAGUGCGUAAUAGCUCACUAGUCGAGUGA
rnacentral:rRNA from 1 species